rnacentral:rRNA from 1 species
GACGAACGCUGGCGGCGUGCUUAACACAUGCAAGUCGAACGGUGACCAUGAGAGCUUGCUCUCGUGCGAUCAGUGGCGAACGGGUGAGUAACACGUGAGUAACCUGCCCCAGACUCUGGAAUAACCCCGGGAAACCGGAGCUAAUACCGGAUACGAGACGGAGAGGCAUCUCUACCGUCUGGAAAGCUUUUCGGUCUGGGAUGGACUCGCGGCCUGUCAGCUGGUUGGUGAGGGAACGGCCCACCAAGGCGACGACGGGUAGCCGGCCUGAGGGGGCGAUCGGCCACACUGGGACUGAGACACGGCCAAGACUCCUACGGGAGGCAGCAGUGGGGAAUAUUGCACAAUGGGCGAAAGCCUGAUGCAGCGACGCCGCGUGAGGGAUGACGGCCUUCGGGUUGUAAACCUCUUUCAGUAGGGAAGAAGCGAAAGUGACGGUACCUACAGAAGAAGCACCGGCUAACUACGUGCCAGCCGCCGCAGUAACAC